rnacentral:rRNA from 1 species
CCUACGGGCGGCAGCAGUGAGGAAUAUUGGUCAAUGGACGAGAGUCUGAACCAGCCAAGUAGCGUGAAGGAUGACUGCCCUAUGGGUUGUAAACUUCUUUUAUAUGGGAAUAAAAUGUUCCACGUGUGGGAUUUUGUAUGUACCAUAUGAAUAAGGAUCGGCUAACUCCGUGCCAGCCGCCGCGGUAAUACGGAGGAUCCGAGGGUUAUCCGGAUUUAUUGGGUUUAAAGGGAGCGUAGGUGGAUUUUUAAGUCAGUUGUGAAAGUUUGCGGCUCAACCGUACAAUGGCAGUUGAAACUGGCAGUCUUGAGUACAGUAGAGGUGGGCGGAAUUCGUGGUGUAGCGGUGAAAUGCUUAGAUAUCACGAAGAACACCGAUUGCGAAGGCAGCUCACUGGACUGCAACUGACACUGAGGCUCGAAAGUGUGGGUAUCAAACAGGAUUAGAUACCCGAGUAGUC